CGGCACGUAGCCACCAAUUACAUGGGGUUAUCUAAAGUUAGCUUACUUCAAAAAGUAAGUAAAGUUUAGUUUCUCAGAUAUACUAACUACAUGUCAACACUAAACAGCCAUACUGAACAGGAAAGGUCUAGAACGUUUUCGUCGCGACAUAAAGUUCUAUGAGACAGAGUAACUAACAGAACUAAGGCGAGCUCGUCCGAGAACACUACCGCCUCUCUUGAGGCUAGACCAGUGGCGUCGGGCGUGACCGCACGUCUCUCCGCUGCACCCUGUUCCUCAGGAGAUCCGCGCGGACACAGAACCCACGCGCAGGGAGGACCUUUCACAGGACGGGCGUUAACAAACAGUGCACCAGGCGCUGCAAAAGCUCCCAAACACGAUAUAAAUCAGGAGCCUCCAAGGUGGUGCGUUUUCCUGGAGCGCCCAGAGGGGCAGGCCCAAGUGCACCGGCGCCGGCGGGCCAGAGGCGCUGGCCUCCGACCUCUCGGUGAGCUAAAGAGGCAACGAGGAAGAGAAACCCAGGAAAGACACCAGGCGCCCCACGGCGCCGGCUGUUGCCUCCGGGAGUGUCUCUAGGACAGCGGGGAACAUCGGGACCUGGGACGCCCCGGCCUCGAAGGCGGCGGCGAAGGCGGAGCCCCGACCGCGCCGGAGAGGCGCGCGGGGAUCCCCCCCCCCGAGGCCAGUCAAGAGUAAACAAGGCCUCGACUCACGCCGCGCACUUACCGGGAGCCGCGACCUCGCGGCCG
rnacentral:lncRNA from 1 species